rnacentral:rRNA from 1 species
ACUCCUACGGGAGGCAGCAGUGAGGAAUAUUGGUCAAUGGGCGCAAGCCUGAACCAGCCAUGCCGCGUGCAGGAUGACGGUCCUAUGGAUUGUAAACUGCUUUUGUACGGGAAGAAACACUCCUUCGUGAAGGAGCUUGACGGUACCGUAAGAAUAAGGAUCGGCUAACUCCGUGCCAGCAGCCGCGGUAAUACGGAGGAUCCAAGCGUUAUCCGGAAUCAUUGGGUUUAAAGGGUCCGUAGGCGGUUUUAUAAGUCAGUGGUGAAAUCCGGCAGCUCAACUGUCGAACUGCCAUUGAUACUGUAGAACUUGAAUUAUUGUGAAGUAACUAGAAUAUGUAGUGUAGCGGUGAAAUGCUUAGAGAUUACAUGGAAUACCAAUUGCGAAGGCAGGUUACUAACAAUAUAUUGACGCUGAUGGACGAAAGCGUGGGUAGCGAACAGGAUUAGAUACCCUGGUAGGACAGUG